UACGAAGGGUGCAAGCGUUAGUCGGAAUUACUGGGCGUAAAGAGCGUGUAGGCGGUCCGGUAAGUCCGCUGUGAAAGUCGGGGGCUCAACCCUCGAAUGCCGGUGGAUACUGUCGGGCUAGAGUGCGGAAGAGGCGAGUGGAAUUCCUGGUGUAGCGGUGAAAUGCGCAGAUAUCAGGAGGAACACCGGUGGCGAAGGCGGGUCUCUGGGCCGGAACUGACGCUGGAGGAGCGAAAGCGUGGGGAGCAAACAGG
rnacentral:rRNA from 1 species